rnacentral:ncRNA from 1 species
GGCACAGCUGGGUAGCUAUGUGCGGUUAAGAUAAGUGCUGAAGGCAUCUAAGCACGAAGCCAACCUCAAGAUAAGAUAUCCCAUACGCAAGUAGUAAGACCCCAUUAAGAACAAGUGGUAGAUAGGCAAGGAGUGGAAGUGCAGUAAUGUAUGUAGCUGACUUGUACUAAUAGGUCGAGGACUUAACCUA